UGACGGUUAAACCGGAAAUACUGGGGGCGUAAAGCGCGCGUAAGCGGUUUGUUAAGUCAGAUGUGAAAUCCCCCGGCUUAAACUGGGAAUGGCAUUUGAGACUGGCAGGCUAGAGUGUGGUAAAGGUGAGUGGAA
rnacentral:rRNA from 1 species